AUACGGAGGAUCCGAGCGUUAUCCGGAUUUAUUGGGUUUAAAGGGUGCGCAGGCGGGAGAUUAAGUCGGCGGUGAAAUUUUGCAGCUCAACUGUAAAAGUGCCUUCGAAACUGGUUUCCUUGAGUGUAGAUGAAGUAGGCGGAAUUUUUGGUGUAGCGGUGAAAUGCAUAGAUAUCACGAGGAACUCCGAUUGCGCAGGCAGCUUACUAAACUACUACUGACGCUCAGGCACGAAGGCGUGGGGAUCAAACAGGAUUAGAUACCCUGGUAGUCCACGCAGUAAACGAUGAUUACUAGCUGUUUGCGAUACAAUGUAAGCGGCUGAGCGAAAGCGUUAAGUAAUCCACCUGGGGAGUACGUUCGCAAGAAUGAAACUUAAAGGAAUUGACGGGG
rnacentral:rRNA from 1 species